rnacentral:rRNA from 1 species
GGGCCCGCACAAGCGGUGGAGCAUGUGGUUUAAUUCGAAGAUACGCGCAGAACCUUACCAACACUUGACAUGUUCGUCGCGACUUUAAGAGAUUAAAGUUUUCGGUUCGGCCGGACGAAACACAGGUGCUGCAUGGCUGUCGUCAGCUCGUGUCGUGAGAUGUUGGGUUAAGUCCCGCAACGAGCGCAACCCUCACUUUUAGUUGCCAUCAUUAAGUUGGGCACUCUGAAAGAACUGCCAGUGAUAAGCUGGAGGAAGGUGGGGAUGACGUCAAGUCCUCAUGGCCCUUACGUGUUGGGCUACACACGUGCUACAAUGGUAUCUACAACAGGAAGCAAGACUGCGAAGUUAAGCA